rnacentral:rRNA from 1 species
UACGUAGGGGGCUAGCGUUGUCCGGAAUCAUUGGGCGUAAAGCGCGUGUAGGCGGUCCGGUAAGUCCGCUGUGAAAGUCGGGGGCUCAACCCUCGGAUGCCGGUGGAUACUGUCGGGCUUGAGUACGGAAGAGGCGAGUGGAAUUCCUGGUGUAGCGGUGAAAUGCGCAGAUAUCAGGAGGAACACCGAUAGCGAAGGCAGCUCGCUGGGACGGUACUGACGCUGAGGCGCGAAAGCGUGGGGAGCGAACAGG